CCUACGGGAGGCAGCAGUCGAGAAUCAUUCACAAUGGGGGAAACCCUGAUGGUGCGACGCCGCGUGGGGGAAUGAAGGUCUUCGGAUUGUAAACCCCUGUCAUGUGGGAGCAAAUUAAAAAGAUAGUACCACAAGAGGAAGAGACGGCUAACUCUGUGCCAGCAGCCGCGGUAAUACAGAGGUCUCAAGCGUUGUUCGGAAUCACUGGGCGUAAAGCGUGCGUAGGCUGUUUCGUAAGUCGUGUGUGAAAGGUGCGGGCUCAACCGGCGGACGGCACAUGAUACUGCGAGACUAGAGUAAUGGAGGGGGAACCGGAAUUCGCGGUGUAGCAGUGAAAUGCGUAGAUAUCGAGAGGAACACUCGUGGCGAAGGCGGGUUCCUGGACAUUAACUGACGCUGAGGCACGAAGGCCAGGGGAGCGAAAGGGAUUAGAUACCCGUGUAGUC
rnacentral:rRNA from 1 species